rnacentral:rRNA from 1 species
UACAGGGGGUGCAAACGUUGCUCGGAAUCAUUGGGCGUAAAGCGCACGUAGGCGGUCUGUUAUGUCGGAUGUGAAAGCCCCCGGCUCAACUGGGGAGGGUCACGCGAUACUGCUCGACUUGAAGGCAGGAGAGGGAAGUGGAAUUCCCGGUGUAGUGGUGAAAUGCGUAGAUAUCGGGAGGAACACCAGUGGCGAAGGCGACUUCCUGGCCUGUUCUUGACGCUGAGGCGCGAAAGCUAGGGUAGCAAACGGG